GUGCUCGCUUUGGCAGCACAAAUACUAAAAUUGGAACGAUACAGAGAAGAUUAGCAUGGCCCCUGUGUGAGGAUGAUACACAAAUUUGUGAAGCGUUCCAUAUUUUU
rnacentral:snRNA from 1 species